rnacentral:rRNA from 1 species
AGAGUUUGAUCCUGGCUCAGGAUGAACGCUGGCGGCGUGCUUAACACAUGCAAGUCGAGCGAAGCACUUUUGCGGAUUUCUUCGGAUUGAAGCAACUGUGACUGAGCGGCGGACGGGUGAGUAACGCGUGGGUAACCUGCCUCAUACAGGGGGAUAACAGUUGGAAACGGCUGCUAAUACCGCAUAAGCGCACAGUACCGCAUGGUACCGUGUGAAAAACUCCGGUGGUAUGAGAUGGACCCGCGUCUGAUUAGCUAGUUGGUGGGGUAACGGCCUACCAAGGCGACGAUCAGUAGCCGACCUGAGAGGGUGACCGGCCACAUUGGGACUGAGACACGGCCCAAACUCCUACGGGAGGCAGCAGUGGGGAAUAUUGCACAAUGGGGGAAACCCUGAUGCAGCGACGCCGCGUGAGCGAUGAAGUAUUUCGGUAUGUAAAGCUCUAUCAGCAGGGAAGAAAAUGACGGUACCUGACUAAGAAGCCCCGGCUAACUACGUGCCAGCAGCCGCGGUAAUACGUAGGGGGCAAGCGUUAUCCGGAUUUACUGGGUGUAAAGGGAGCGUAGACGGCAUGGCAAGCCAGAUGUGAAAGCCCGGGGCUCAACCCCGGGACUGCAUUUGGAACUGUCAGGCUAGAGUGUCGGAGAGGAAAGCGGAAUUCCUAGUGUAGCGGUGAAAUGCGUAGAUAUUAGGAGGAACACCAGUGGCGAAGGCGGCUUUCUGGACGAUGACUGACGUUGAGGCUCGAAAGCGUGGGGAGCAAACAGGAUUAGAUACCCUGGUAGUCCACGCC